GACACUUAGGACAGCUGAUAGCUUGGCGGUGCAUCACAUGGGCAGCUGUCAAACUUGGUUUUUGAAUCACAAACCCAGCUGGUUCCCAAAGGCUCAAGUUAUGUGGUCACGGGUUGGUUUGCCACACCACCCUAGACUAACUUGGAGCUCAAGUACGAAUAGACUAAUGUUUUGCUAAAAGGUAUUUGAAAUUCAAACACUCAGAAACUGAAGCAAACACAUUUGAAUGUGCACAUGGUCAGACCCAGUAGAUAGAACAGAUACAACAGGGGUAUCCGUUUAAUCGGGAUGGCAAGCACGGCUGCCAUCCUUAGUGAAUGAAUGUGAUGCACAUGCAUGAACUACCUGAUGCACAUGAGAUCUGUCAGGUUCUUCAUUCUUCACUUGAGUAGUCCUUGCUACCAGGCUACAACAUGUAGCAUGUAUCCUUGUGUUUUGAUCAUAAAGGGAUAGCCAAUAAUUCUUGUACCAACAAUAUCAUCAUAGUCCCAUAUGGUUUCUGGUAAGCUGCUGCUGCUGCAGCGUUUUAGUCUCUUCAUCAUAUUGAUUUCUAUCUCAAAGGAUCUAAUUUCGUUUUUGAUUCCAAGAGGGAGGGGGAAGGACUAAGCUUUAUAAGACCUAGACUCUCCUAAGUAAAAAAGGACAGCAAUCCCAACUCAAAUAGAACCCAAAUAGAAGACAAAAACCAACUCAAAUUGAAGGACACACAUAAGUUGAAAAGAGAAAGAAAAAAAGGACAAACUUAACUGAAAUUCAAGGAUACUUGUGGAUAAGUUAAAAAGGGAGGACAUUGAAUCAAUAGAAGACCAUAAGUUAACAUGCUGGGUUUUCUAAAUGGGAGAUACAUAAGUUGAAGAUUAAGGACGACUCAACUUAAUAAGCUUUCAAAUUCACGGACUCAAUCUAGCAGGAACCAAUUGAAGGACAAAGGUUUCUAAUUGGGAGAGAUUGCAGAUCUGAGACCCGACACCACCGUAUCCUCAAUCAAUCUUCACUCGACCCUUGUGUAAUAACAACCCAAGUCAAGCAAACAGUAAAAAUCGAAAAUCAAUCAAUUCAAUGGAAAUGAUUAUCUAUCUGACCCCAAUAAGUUUAAAUACGAGCGAAGCACUAAAUUACUUACAGAAAAGAAUGGUUUUUCUGGUUCUUGGUAUGGAUGAUGCUCUGGUUUGUCUGAGGGUUCAGUUCUCGCGGCCGCCUAGAUGCGAGAGUUGCAGGUCUAACAAGACGAAGAAGAAAAGAAUUUGUCGGGAAAACAGUUAUGAGAAAUGCUUUGUCAGAUGUGGGUUUUUCUACCAACAGCCCAAACCAAUGUAUUCAAUGUAACAAGCCCGAACCAAACAAACGAUCCGUUUCAGAUGAGAACACACGUCAGACUUGAAUUUCGUGGAUGACGAAGGCUGGUAUAGCAGAAUGAGAGCAUCUUGACUCUUUAUUUUGGUUCCUUAAUAAUUUUAGGGUGCGUUUAUUGUUACUUGAUAAAUUAUUUUAUUCACCCCACACGUUAUUGAUUUAUUGAAAUACCAAAACACUAUGUUGUAAAAUUACAGCAAGAAACAAUAAGUUAUUGCAAAUUACAAUUUUUUUAUUUUUUAUUUUUUGUUUUGGAUGAACACAAAUUUCAUAACACUAACUCAGAUUUAUCAUAUUCGGUAGUGAGUCUGAAGACACUAGCAUUUUUAUUUUAGAUAAAUUGUUUAUAUAUUUUUUUCUUUGUUGAUGAUUCGUUUAUCCAUUUACUCAUUAUUUCCUAUGUCGACUUUGUAUGUAAAUUCUCAUCUUUGUAUCAGUUCCAAAAGGUCUCAUUACUAUGAAUACUUUGGCUGCUAAGUUAAUAUAAACAUAGCACGCUGGAAACCCAAUAACGUUGAAGAGUCGAUCUAUGCUUUUUAAUGGAAAUGCUAAAGAACAUGUAUUACCCGACAUCCCAACUCUACUCCACUAGGCUGGCAAAAAUGCCACCACUCCAAUCCUGCAAAGGUAUACACACUAUAUCAGGGCAUAUGCCUCUACAAAAGCUUCUGCGGCUUCACUAGACAAAAGGCGACUACUUCAUGAACUGCGAUCGAUUUGCACUGCAUUGCGUUCGAAUUAAACUGCAACGCCUCACGCAUAUGCUGGUCAUUGAGUAAUGACUGUAAUCCAUAAGAAGCCUCCAAAUGAACCACUUAUGGCAAUGUUUCUGAAGUACUAGCUGCCCAGCUAGGUAUCCAUUGCGUCUAUCACUAUUUCCUUUAUCUUUGAUCCGUUCUUACGGCACGGUACAUGUUGAUUCAUCUCAUAUGUGAGCAAAUAACUAACUAUAUGCAAGGCACUUGCUGCAUAUAAAUAUCACUAGAAUUAUGAACAUUUGCAAGAUUUGUGUUCAUAAUUUUUCUUCCUUUCUUCUCAUUUCUAAUGUAUCAAAGUGCAAGAUCUAUAUAGAUUCAAUUUGAAACACUUAACAACAAAACACUUAUCAUAGUAGUAAGAGUAUAUCUCUUAUGUUCUUUCUCCUCGAUUAUUUCUUUCACUCUUUUCCCAAUCUACUCUUUUCAUCGGAGACAAAACAGAGCAAAUUUCAGAGAGUUCUUUCUAGAUAGUGUGCGAACUGCGAAGUCCAAUAUACUCUUCUUCUUUUUUUCAGCAGAAAAAAAAAAAAAAAAAAAAAAAAAUACUGGCCCGAGCCUAAAACUGUUUUUACUGUAGAUGAACAGUAAAUCACUGUAUAUGAACAGUGAUCAACAAAUAAAUAUAUAGUAAAUUUAUCUAACCAGGACUAGGUAGGUGAAAAAGAAAACUUGCUUUACAGUUUAUAUAAGCAAAGUAAAGAUAAUGAAAAUCCAUACUUAUUAGAAUGACAUUAAUUGUCAAAUACAGGCACAACUUUACAAACGUUUUGGAUACCAAAUUGACGGUUGUUUUUUUUUUUUUUCAACAAACUAACUGAAAAUUACAAAUAGAAACCUCUAAUACAACCAACACCUAAGGAGUCAAAAUUAAAGGCCGAGCUAGCAGGCAGAGGAAGAGAAUGGUCCCUUUUGAUGUGUUUAAACUGAAUACCAAACUGACAGUUGUUCAGGUAGCAAAAAACAAAAAAAACAGAAAAAAGAACAAAAACAAAAACCGUCACACACAAGCCAAGGUCUCCAUAUAUAGAUGAUUACACGGGCCAACCCGGAGAAUAGAAGUAUCAUCAACACCGGCCUGGGGUGUUAAGUCAAUCGAUUUGAAGGUGUGACUCUUAAGAUUGUAAGAGAAUACUUUUCCACGCGCAUGCAGCAACAGAGAUGAACCUUCCUCUUCAUUUUCCCCUUUAGCAAGAAAGAGAACAACAAAUAUAUGCGUAGGGUAAGCAGUGAAUAAAGGAUCAAGAUCCACAUUGUACUUGACAAACCACCAAGAGUAGUCUCUUCCCAUCUCCAACACUUCAAUUUUAGUAGAACAAGGCCAAUAAAUAUCAAUGAGAUGCAAAUGGCCGUCACUAGUCUCCUUCAAAUAUCUAUGUUCCCUAGUUUCCCAGUUCUUCUCCUCAGAAUAAGGAAAACCAUCAACAAAUCCAACACGAUCUUCUUCUAUGUGGUAGUAUAUGCCAUUUCACAAUCACCGCCCACCCAAUGAACUGCGCCAUUGCAGUAUACCCCACCUUUGUAGGAAAUUUGAUCAAGACAAUGGCGGUGGUGACUCCUCAAACUUACCAUAUCUGUUAAAAGAUUGAUGUAGCCAUGCAUUCAUUCUUGGUCUAUAGAGCUGUUGUUCUAGGGUGUUGGGUGGUCACUUUCUUGCAGAGUUAAAUAGUUAGAGCCAUAUGUGUACGUGUAUAUAUGUAUGCAAAAAGACUCGUUCUAUAACAAUUUUAGGUGUCAUUACAUGAAUUAUUAUAGCUCGCUCUUAGUCUUAUAGUGAUUCUUACAUGCAUCUUUCUGAUAAAUAGGAACGCUUAGCCAUCCCUAUAUACAUAUCAGUUAAUCCCAUCUUCAAACGCAAAGCACAAAUCAUAGUGUUCAAAUUGGAAAUUCUAGUGGCGUGUGGGGAAGAAGCAUUACUGUGUUAAACAAACUUCUAGUAAUUACAUCCGGUUCUUGUAUAUUCUUCCUCCAACUAAAUACCAUUCAUUGUUCUAAUAAUGCUUUGUAUGUGAAGUCAAUGGAGGGCUGCAUCACUUUGUAUGAUAUACAUAAUACAUAAUACUGUACGUCUACCGUUACGUACCAUUACUAAACCUGUUUACAAACAUUCUAUAGUGAUCGACUCAUCAUCAUUCAAUAAGAUCAAAGAAAUCAAUCCCAUUCUCGUUUCUGGGUUAGCAUAAACUGUGCAAGUAGAGUCAUGCAUACAUUCUUGGUCUAAAGCAGAGUCCGAGACUUUAAUCAGUGUCUUAGUAGGUUGUAACCACAUCCUAAACCUAUAGCACUGUUGUUGUAGGGUGUUGGGUGGUCACCUUCUUGUAGAGUUAAGAAUUAGAGCCAUCUGUGUACAUGUAUAUACCAGUUACAUCUAUGCAAAAGGACUCCUUUCACAGCAAUUUUUAGCUUUCAUUACUAUGAAUUAUUAUAUCUUGCUCUUAGUCUUAUUGUUAGUCGACAUUGCUUGCUGGUUUGAAAAUUGACAUGAAAACGACCAAUUAACAAAUCCCCCUCAUUUUAGUUAUAAUAGCAUAUCUUCAAACGCAAAGCACAAAUCCAAGGAGACUUUCAUAUGUGUUGUUCAAAUUCGAAAUUUCUAAUGCGUGUGUGCGGAGAAGCAAUGCGUGUUAAACAAAAGGCUUUUUCUCAUGUAGUAAUUAUAUCCCGAUUCGUGUGAAUUAUCAACAAAUCGAUAUUAAAUUACUGUCGAAACGAUCAAAAUUAGAUAAUUCACGUACAAUUCAAAACGUAGUGAUCAAACAUUACGAUUUUCCUUCCAUUUAUUUUACACAAUAUGGAUGAAUCAAUCCCAGUUAACUAUGUCUGGACAACAUUAUUGUUUCAAGAGGAAAAUAUCGAUCAUGAAUUGAAGGCGGUGCAGUCCGUCCUAAUCUCCCCUUCACUCCCAGUCUUAACGUCGACCCUGCCGAGCUUCCUCAUGGCAGUGAUGAAAGCACCGCUAAACUCACCGGGGCUGUUAGCAAAGUCCACGACAGUCGACUGAGAUGCCGAGUCGGAGAAAAGAACCUCGUCUGAGGUGAACAAGCCCUUCCCGGCAACCAAGUUCUGGUAGUAGACGUUGUCAACGUUCGUGGAGUUUCGAGGGUCCAUGUCGAUGGCUAUCCUGGGGUCCACGUCCUUAGGGCAAGCUGACAUAAGCUGCUUGGCGUAGUCGGGAUCCAACGACGGGUCAACGGCGGAGGAUGACGAGAAUGAGUACAAGCGGUCGGCGAAGCGGUUGCAGUGUGAAAACCCUAGAGUGUGUGCUCCCGAUAAUGCAAUGACGUCGGUUUGGGUGAGGUUGUGUUUCGAAAACAUGGUGUUGAGUUGUUUAAGAUCAAAUGAUGGUUCCGGCAAGUUUCCGGCUACCCUUGAGGCUUUGGAGACUAGUCCAUCUCGACGUCCCAAUUCGACGUUGAAGUCCGGACCUCCACCCUACACAUGUAAACAAUAAUUUCACUUAANNNNNNNNNNNNNNNNNNNNUGGGGUCCACGUCCUUAGGGCAAGCUGACAUAAGCUGCUUGGCGUAGUCGGGAUCCAACGACGGGUCAACGGCGGAGGAUGACGAGAAUGAGUACAAGCGGUCGGCGAAGCGGUUGCAGUGUGAAAACCCUAGAGUGUGUGCUCCCGAUAAUGCAAUGACGUCGGUUUGGGUGAGGUUGUGUUUCGAAAACAUGGUGUUGAGUUGUUUAAGAUCAAAUGAUGGUUCCGGCAAGUUUCCGGCUACCCUUGAGGCUUUGGAGACUAGUCCAUCUCGACGUCCCAAUUCGACGUUGAAGUCCGGACCUCCACCCUACACAUGUAAACAAUAAUUUCACUUAAUUAACUUAAGCAUAGUUUAUUUGAAACAUGCAUUCCAAGAAGAAUGUCAAUGCAAGUUAAUCAAUUUAAAAAAAAAAAAAUGCAAGUUAAUCAAUAAUCAAUGCAAGAAUGUCAAUGCAGUUUAUUAGAAAUGUACCCAAAAAAAAAAAAAAAAAAAAAAAAAGUACUAAGAGGUUGAGGAUGAUCGACUAACAAGAACUACAACAUCGCGGGCAGCAAGAGCCAGAAUAUCAGCACAUGAAACGACGGCAGGGCAUUGCGCUUCGACGGCUUGCUUAGCUUUGAUGACGGUGUCAAAUCCAUCUCCGGCCAACGAAAGAUUAUCCGACGAGUCCUUCUCUGCGUCCCCAUUUGGUGAUGUUAUCAUGACCGAGGCAUCGCAUCCCUAUUCGAAAUUGAUCAACCAAGAAAGGAGAUGAUUGAUUGAUUAACAUGAAUCAUUAUAUAUCAUAUAUGACAUGGAUUUUGAGUUUGAACGUACAUGAACUAUAUAAGAAACUAUAACUAAUAUGUACCUCGACAAAGCAGUCAUGAAAAAAGAGUCGGAGAGUAGCCGGAAUUGUUGUGAAGGUUUGGCUGAAUUUGGUAGAGACUGCCUGCUUCACGAUGGAUUCCACGUUUGGGCAGCUAGAGCUGUAAAAAUUUUCAACUAAUUGUGCUUCUGAUCCUCUUCCCUGCAUAUUAACCAACAUCACAACCACAACCACCAUUAACAGUAACGCUCUGCACAUCUUCAUACUUUACUGAUUACAAGCUCUCUCCUCUUAUUCCUCCCUCGUGGUAAAUUAAAUUUAAGAUUCUUUGUUUCGUGCCCUUAUGCUAAAUAGAUAGUGGUGCUUACAUCUCAUAUAUAUAGAUGAACAUACACAGAAGAAUUCAUAAUGGCGACCUUUCAAAGCCAUAUAUAUUAUUUCUUUUAGGUAAGUUGAUCACGUAUAAGAUGUAGUCAUGCGUACUUGGUCCAGGCGUCCAAGUCCAAGAGUCUGAUCAAUGUUCUAGUAGUAGUAGUAUGUAGUAGGUAGUUACUAGACUUUACCCUAUAGUCUAUAUUUGCCUGUUGUUCUAGCUAGGGUAGUGUUGAACUGUUGAGUACUUGUCAUCAUUAUCAUUCCCGCGGUGUUCAUAUUAUAAAAGGGUUUUGCCAAGCUCCCUAAUCCAUCCGGUGUUUAUCUUGCAACAUAUUGUAUUUCAAAAAUUAUACUCUGAGUGUAAGUGAACCAAACACAUAAUAUGUAAUAUUACACUGUCAUGUAUAUAUGUACGCACGAAAUUAAAACAUGAAAAGCUAGUCUAGCUGUUUCAAACACAUGCAUACAAUGAGGCGCAAAGAUCGAAUAAGUUAUAAGAGUUUACUCUGAUUGGAUAAAAAUGAAAAGGAUGAAGGAAUUGAGAGCUUUCGAUCCCGUCUUGAUAAUUCACAACUUCAAUCGAAUGACUUGAAAAUUGAUGAUGUAAAUGUGCUUUGUAUGAAAAGACAUUUCAGAAAAAAUAUGUUUUGAAAGGAAAAAUAAAGUUUAAAUGAGAUAAUCAUCCAAGACUCCAAGGGUUUUGAUCAAAAAAAAAAGAAAAAAGAAAAAAAAAGCGGAAGGUGUAAUACAUACGACACGUGGAAUUGGGGUUUAAUUUUGAAAACCCAUUUAAGUAUUAGAAGGAGGCAUAACGGUCACCCCUCAAAGCGACUCAAAUUCUCUCUGCGAACCCUAAUUGACUCUGAUCGUUCCAGCUUUCUUGUUUGGAACUUCCGCACCAAAACUUUGGAGAAAGAGUCUGGAUUUUCUACAGCCGAUCCCAACGCCGAAGCGGUCGCUGGGUUUGCCAAAACGGUUGCCGGAGAGGUGCGGAUUGUGUUGGUGGCUAGGAGUGGGCUCUCGUUCUCCACCAGGGUUUAUAGGGCUGAGGAGGAUGAGCGUGGCCGAGAAGAAGAAGAAGGUGGCAAUGGACAACAAGAACCACGCCCGGAUGGCUGGGGAGAAUGGGUCCUUUUUGGUGGUAAUCGACCGUUCAUGCCCUAUCAAGAUCAGCUGGCACGUUUCAGCGUGUCUGCGGGUGUUUCACGUAUAUACUGGGCAGGUUUGAGUUCAGGUAGGAACCAAAUAGUGAGUAUUGAUGUUGAAACCGAAACUGUUCGUCUUGAGGAUCCACCUCUUGACCUCCUCCCAGGUGUAAGGGUGAACAUUGGGCACGGAAUUGCUGGAGAGCUGGCAGCAUCAGUCUUGGAGGAAUCGGGUUUUCUACGUUUUCUGAGAGUGUGGUGUCUCCGAGGUGCGGGAUGGGUCCCUGUUGCCCGGAUUAUAGUGAAUAACGACCCUCCUCAGUCUUACCUCCCUUUGAGCAUCUACAACAGAAGACCAGAUCAGCAGACUUGUUAUGUUUUCUUGAAGAACACAUCGAGUAUUGUGAGGAUCACUCCUCCUCCUCCUGCAGAGGAGGAGUUGUUCGUGGCACAGACAACAGUCUUCACUUCCACCCUUCCACAGGGGCGAUAUCACCCCGAGAAUUGGGAAUGGUCAAAGAACAGGACUGCUGAAGAGGAGGAAGAGACCCACAGGCAUAAACGAAGGAGGAUUGUUAAGGGUCGCCUCGGUUUUGAUACUAGCGAGUUGUAGUGUGAUAACAGGAAAGCAGAUCUUCACAAGUAGCACCAGAUACGACUGAGGUACAAAUAUGAUUCGAAAAACUUGGAAGCGCCUUUCUUCUUACAAGUUUGUAUAUUCUGUGUAUCUUUCACAUCUAGAAUAAAUAGAGUUGAUUUCAAAAGCCAUGUCUCAGAUUGUAUGCUUUUGGCUUACACUACUAGAAGUUAGGACUUAUGUGACGAAAUGGUUUCGUCGCUUAAGAGUGAAAUUUCGUCGCAUAAGUACUUAAGCGACGAAAAUUUCGUCGCUUAAGAGUCGUCGCAUAGGUGGUGUCGCAUAGGUAUCUAAGCGACGAAACAUGUAUUUUCGUCGCUUAGGUUCCUCUUAAGCGACGAAUUACGUUUCGUCGCUAAACUACUUAAGCGACGAACAAAUAUUUCGUCGCAUAAGUGCCUCCUAAGCGACGAAAAAAAAUUCGUCGCAUAGACUUAUGCGACGAACAUUUCUAACUUAAGCGACGAAAUAUUUCGUCACUUAAGUGUUUUCAAUAUAUAAAAAAAAUUAAUUAAUUUAAUUUAAUUUCAUUUUUUGCAGUUUUUAUUUUAUUUUGUUUUUUAGUUUUAUUUUGUUUUUUNNNNNNNNNNNNNNNNNNNNAUGGAAAUACAACAAUCCAUACACAAGUUAUACAACUUUUCCGACACAAAACUAGCAGUUCUUUAAGCAGCAGAAACAAAUAAAAUAAAUAAAAACAAAAACAGAAUCCGUCACACACAAGCCAAGGACUCCAUAUAUCGAUAAUUACUACGCUGACCAACACCGGCUUGAGGUGUUAAGUCGAAAGAUUUGAAGGUGUUACUCUUAACAUUGUAAGAGAAGACUUUUCCAGGAGCAUGCAGCAACAGAGAUGAACUUUCCUCUUCAUUUUCCCCUUUAGCAAGAAAGAGAACACAAAACACCUUAAAGCGUGGGUAAGCGGUGCAUAAAAGAUCAAGAUCCACAUUGUACUUGACAAACCACCCAGAGUAGUCUCUUCCCAUCUCCAACACUUCAAAUUUAGUAAAACAAGGCGAAUAAAUAUCAAUAAGAUGCAAAUGGCUGUCACUAGACUCCUUAAAGUAUCUAUACUCCCUAGUUUCCCAGUUCUCCUCACAACGAGGAAGACCAUCAACCAAUCCAACACGCUCUUCAUCUAAGUGAUAAUAUGCCAUCUCACAAAUCCGGCCAACCCAGUGAACUGCACCGUUGCAGUAUACCCCAUCUUGGUAGGAAAUUUGACCUUGAGUUUCAAAAGAAGAAUUGACAAGACUCCAACUUUUAGUCUCAGAAGAAUAUAUCUCUAUGUUAUGGUAACUGCACCAGCCGCAUGGAGUUGGUUCAUCACGGAACCAAAGGAAGACCACCUUGUAAUGAGGUGAUUUGGAAGGGUCAAAAGCCAAAGCACAGCCGAAGAUUCGGGGUUCAGUAGUAGUGGCGGCGGCAGCAGCUGGAGGAACAAGUUUGGUGAACUGGUUGGUUGUGGGAUUGAGAACAUAAUGAUAAAGAGGUGUAAUAACUCGCCGCACGUCCGACCUGUGGAUAACAGAGUUCAGUACAAUUUCAGGAUGGCACAAGAAGAGGCCGUUGCAGGACUGGAUAAUCUUGAUGUUGUCAUGACAUACGUUCGCAAUGAAUUUCAGAGGGUUGCAGCUGGGUGAACCAGACCCUGUACUAGUAGUGCGAUCAUGAUCCAAAUCAAGAGGGAUAAAGCUAAUGUAUCUGGUGAGAUUGCAAAAGACCGCGGAAGCGGAAGGGUUCGGGUUCCGAAGGGUGUGAAGGUGACAGAACUUGGGGUCAGAGAUAAAAGAGAGCCAAUUCUUGGAGACACAUUUGAAGCGGAGCAGAAUUUGAGCUGGAACACGGACAAGGAUUUCCGAAAAGAUAUCAUCAUAGUCCCAUAUGGUUUCUGGUAAGCUGCUGCUGCUGCAGCGUUUUAGUCUCUUCAUCAUAUUGAUUUCUAUCUCAAAGGAUCUAAUUUCGCUUUAUAAGACCUGGACUCUCCUAAGUAAAAAAGGACAGAAAUCCCAGCCCAAACAGAAGACAAAAACCAACUCAAAUUGAAGGACACACAUAAGUUGAAAAGAAAAGAAAAAAAAAAAGGACAAACUUAACUUAAAUUCAAGGAUACUUGUGGAUACGUUAAAAAGGGAGGACAUUGAAUCAAUAGAAGACCAUAAGUUAACAUGCUGGGUUUUCUAAAUGGGAG
rnacentral:lncRNA from 1 species